AACGAACGCUGGCGGCAGGCUUAACACAUGCAAGUCGAGCGAGACCUUCGGGUCUAGCGGCGGACGGGUGAGUAACGCGUGGGAACGUGCCCUUCUCUACGGAAUAGCCCCGGGAAACUGGGAGUAAUACCGUAUACGCCCUUUGGGGGAAAGAUUUAUCGGAGAAGGAUCGGCCCGCGUUGGAUUAGGUAGUUGGUGGGGUAAUGGCCCACCAAGCCGACGAUCCAUAGCUGGUUUGAGAGGAUGAUCAGCCACACUGGGACUGAGACACGGCCCAGACUCCUACGGGAGGCAGCAGUGGGGAAUCUUAGACAAUGGGGGCAACCCUGAUCUAGCCAUGCCGCGUGAGUGAUGAAGGCCUUAGGGUUGUAAAGCUCUUUCAGCUGGGAAGAUAAUGACAGUACCAGCAGAAGAAGCCCCGGCUAACUCCGUG
rnacentral:rRNA from 1 species